UACAGAGGUCCCAAGCGUUGUUCGGAUUCACUGGGCGUAAAGGGUGCGUAGGCGGUCGGGUAAGUCUGAUGUGAAAUCUCACAGCUUAACUGUGAAACUGCAUUGGAUACUAUCCGGCUCGAGGAAUGGAGGGGAGACUGGAAUACUUGGUGUAGCAGUGAAAUGCGUAGAUAUCAAGUGGAACACCAGUGGCGAAGGCGACUUUCUGGGCUGUAACUGACGCUGAGGCGCGAAAGCGUGGGGAGCAAACAGG
rnacentral:rRNA from 1 species